ensembl:lncRNA
UUAGAGUGUAGAGGUGGCAGGUGCCUAGUGUUUAGAAUGUAGAUGCGGCAGGUAGCCUAGUGGUUAGAAUGUAGAUGCGGCAGGUAGCCUAGUGGUUAGAGUGUAGAGGCGGCAGGUAGCCUAGUGGUUAGAGUGUAGAUGCGGCAGGUGCCUAGUGGUUAGAGUGUAGAGGAGGCAGGUGCCUAGUGGUUAGAAUGUAGAGGUGGCAGGUAGCCUAGUGGUUAGAGUGUAGAGGCGCAUGUAGCCUAGUGUUUAGAGUGUAGAGGUGGCAGGUAGCCUAGUGGUUAGAGUGUCGAGGCGGCAGGUAGCCUAGUGGUUAGAGUGUAGAUGCGGCAGGUGCCUAGUGGUUAGAAUGUAGAUGCGGCAGGUGCCUAGUGGUUAGAAUGUAGAUGCGGCAGGUAGCCUAGUGGUUAGAAUGUAGAUGCGGCAGGUAGCCUAGUGGUUAGAGUGUAGAGGUGGCAGGUAGCCUAGUGUUUAGAGUGUAGAGGUGGCAGGUAGCCUAGUGGUUAGAGUGUAGAGGCGGCAGGUAGCCUAGUGGUUAGAGUGUAGAUGCGGCAGGUGCCUAGUGGUUAGAAUGUAGAUUCGGCAGGUGCCUAGUGGUUAGAAUGUAGAUGCGGCAGGUAGCCUAGUGGUUAGAGUGUAGAGGUGGCAGGUAGCCUAGUGGUUAGAGUGUAGAGGUGGUAGGUAGCCUAGUGGUUAGAGUGUAGAGGCGGCAGGUGCCUAGUGGUUAGAGUGUAGAGGUGGCAGGUAGCCUAGUGGUUAGAGUGUAGAGGCGGCAGGUAGCCUAGUGGUUAGAGUGUAGAUGCGGCAGGUGCCUAGUGGUUAGAAUGUAGAUUCGGCAGGUGCCUAGUGGUUAGAAUGUAGAUGCGGCAGGUAGCCUAGUGGUUAGAGUGUAGAGGUGGCAGGUAGCCUAGUGGUUAGAGUGUAGUGGUGGCAGGUAGCCUAGUGGUUAGAGUGUAGAGGCGGCAGGUAGCCUAGUGGUUAGAGUGUAGUGGUGGCAGGUAGCCUAGUGGUUAGAGUGUAGAGGUGGCAGGUGCCUAGUGGUUAGAGUGUAGAGGCGGCAGGUAGCCUAGUGGUUAGAGUGUAGAGGCGGCAGGUAGCCUAGUGGUUAGAGUGUAGAGGCAGCAGGUAGCCUAGUGGUUAGAGUGUAGAGAUGGCAGGUAGCCUAAGUGGUUAGAGUGUAGAGGCGGCAGGUAGCCUAGUGGUUAGUGCGUUGGGCCAGUAACCGAAAGGUUGCUAGAUCAAUUCCCCAAGGUAAAAAUCUGUUGUUCUGCCCAUGAACAAGUCAGUUAACCCACUGUUCCUAGGCCGUCAGUGUAAAUAAGAAUUGGUUGUUAACUGACUGGCCUAGUUAAAUGAAAAAGCCUUUGUGAAUCAGGAGCACAAAGGGGUUUCCGUACUCUAAAACAACACAUUCAUCUGUCAGUUGUCCUGAAGAUGCUGACCCCCAGGUAACACUGGUGAGCUCUUUCACAGCAAUAAGAAUAUAUAUCAACAAAACAAUACUCAAACAAAUGUAAUAAACUGUCCUGGACUGUCACAUCAUCUGCAGCAAGAUCUACUGUCUCUAUGUUUUCUCCUAACAAAAAUGCAUGUUUUCUCCUCAUCAGGCAGUUCAAGAAACCCUGCAAUUCUUUCUUUCAUUUCCAGGAGAGAAAUACCUCUGAUUGAGUCAUAUUUGGAGCGGUGGAGUAGGAAAUGCUGCUCAUUCUCUACGUCAGCCGACCCACAGGGCUAACAUAGACUUUUUAUACCACCUUCCUAUCUCUCUCCCUCCCUCAGCCCUUUCUACAUUUACCUCUUUCAAUCUCUCUGAUUACCACCCCUAUUUUCCUGCCUCACUCCUGACCCUCUCUGUGUGUGUGUGUGUGUGUGUGUGUGUGUGUGUGUGUGUGUGUGUGUGACUGUGUGUGUGUGUGUGUGUGUGUGUGUGUGUGUUUGGUAUUACUAUCCUUGUGGGGACCAGAAGUUCUAAUAAUGAUAGUAAAACAAGGACAUUUCGCUGGUCCCCACAAGGAAAAAGGCUAUGUUAGGCUUAGGGGUUAGGUUUAGGGUUAGGCUUACAGUUACGUUUAGAAUUAGGGUUAGGGUUAGGAGUUAGGGUUAGGCAUUAGGGUUAUGGGUUUGGGGUUAAAGUUAGGGAUAUGGGUUAGGUUUAGAAUUAGGGUUAUAAUUAAGGUUAUGGCUAAGUUGAGGGGUUAGGGUUAGGGGGUUGGGGUUAAUGUGAGGGUUAAGGUUAGGGUUAUGGUUAGGUUAAGGGUUAGGGCUAGCUUUAGGAAUUGGGGAAAAUAGGAUUUUGAAAGGGAAUACAUGUUUUGGUCCCCACAAGGAUAGUAAAACAGAACAGUGUGUGCUUGUGGUUGUGUGAAUCCCCUAAAAUACUCAGGGAUUUUAGGUUGUGCUUUCCUAACAAUGGUGUUUUAACACUGAUGGUUCUUUGGGAAAAUGCACACAUGCACGUACACAAAUACUGAGAAGUCAGACUGAGUGUGUGUGUGUGUGUGUAUGUGUGUGUGUGAGUGUAUGUGCAGUGUGUGUGUGUGUGUGUGUGUGUGUGUGUGUGUGUGUGUGUGUGUGUGUGUGUGUGUGUGUGUGUGUGUCAGUGUGUGUGUCUGGGUGUGUGUGUGUGUGUGUGUGUGUGUGUGUGUCAGUGUGUCAGUGUGUGUGUGUGUGUUUGUGUGUGUGUGUGUGAGUGUGUGUGUGUGUGUGUGUGUCAGUGUGUCAGUGUGUGUGUCAGUGUGUCAGUGUGUGUGUCAGUGUGUCAGUGUGUCAUUGUGUCUGGGUGUGUGUGCGGUGGGGGUUUCACAAAAAUUAAAUCAUAUAAGAAAGCAGCAGACAGACACAAACACAGUGAUUAAACAGACUUAAACAGAACUAAACACAAAGAAUGGUGAGAGAGAGAGAGAGAGGGAUGGAAGAGGGGAGGAAACAUAGAGGGAAAAAGAGUCGCAGAGAAUUGGAGGUUAACUAACCCUAAUCAAUACAGUCUUGAUGAGCAGCCAGAGUCAGAGUUCGAGCUCGAUUGAAAAGUGAGGCUUGAGGAGGGAGGUGGAGCAGAGAGAAGGGGGACUCAGAGAGAGGGAACCAGGGUUAAGGAUAGGUGUAACCGGUGUGGAAUGGAGGGAGGUGGAGCAGAGAGAGGGUACCAGGGUUAAGGUUUGGGAUAGGUGUAACCAGUGUGGAAUGGAGGGAGGUGGAGCAGGGAGAAGGUACGAUUGUUAAGGAAAGGUGUAACCGGUGUGGAAUGGAGGGAGGUGGAGCAGGGAGAGGGAACCAGGGUUAAGGAAAGGUGUAACCGGUGUGGAAUGGAGGGAGGUGGAGCAGAGAGAGGGAACCAGGGUUAAGGAAAGGUGUAACCGGUGUGGAAUGGAGGGAGGUGGAGCAGAGAGAAGGUACCAGGGUUAAGGAUAGGUGUAACCUGUGUGGAAUGGAGGGAGGUGGAGCAGAGAGAGGGAACCAGGGUUAAGGUUUGGGAUAGCUGUAACCGGUGUGGAAUGGAGGGAGGGGGAGUCAGAGAGAGGGUACCAGGGUUAAGGUUUGGGAUAGGUGUAACCUGUGUGGAAUGGAUGGAGGUGGAGCAGAGAGAGGGUACCAGGGUUAAGGUUUGGGAUAGCUGUAACCGGUGUGGAAUGGAGGGAGGUGGAGCAGAGAGAGGGAACCAGGGUUAAGGUUUGGGAUAGGUGUAACCUGUGUGAAAUGGAGGGAGGUGGAGCAGAGAGACGGUACCAGGGUUAAGGAUAGCUGUAACCGGUGUGGAAUGGAGGGAGGGGGAGUCAGAGAGAGGGUACCAGGGUUAAGGUUUGGGAUAGCUGUAACCG